rfam:Hordeum vulgare subsp. vulgare, WGS project CAJW01000000 data, contig: morex_contig_1583120
AACAUACUCCCUCCGCCUCACAAUUCUUGUCUUAGAUUUGUCUAAUAUAAAUGUAUCUAGUCAUGUUUUAGUAUUUAGAUACAUCCAUUUCUAAACAAAAGUAAGACAAGAAUUUUGGGACGGAGGGAGUAAUAU